rnacentral:rRNA from 1 species
CUCGUAGGCGGUUAGUCACGUCGGAUGUGAAAUCCCAGUGCUUAACACUGGGCCUGCAUUCGAUACGGGCUGACUAGAGUGUUGUAGGGGAGACUGGAACUCCUGGUGUAGCGGUGAAAUGCGCAGAUAUCAGGAAGAACACCGGUGGCGAAGGCGGGUCUCUGGGCAACUACUGACGCUGAGGAGCGAAAGCGUGGGGAGCAAACAGGAUUAGAUACCCUGGUAGUCC